rnacentral:tRNA from 1 species
GGAGAAAUGGCUGAGUGGUCUAAAGCGCCUUCCUGCUAAGAAGGUGGCCUCUCAAAGGGGGCUCGAGGGUUCGAAUCCCUCUUUCUCCGCCA